rnacentral:rRNA from 1 species
UACAGGGGGGGCAAGCGUUGUUCGGAAUUACUGGGCGUAAAGGGCUCGUAGGCGGCCAACUAAGUCCGACGUGAAAUCCCCAGGCUUAACCUGGGAACUGCGUCGGAUACUGGAUGGCUUGGAUUCGGGAGAGGGAUGCAGAAUUCCAGGUGUAGCGGUGAAAUGCGCAGAUAUCAGGAGGAACACCAAUGGCGAAGGCAGCUCGCUGGGACGGUACUGACGCUGAGACGCGAAAGCGUGGGGAGCAAACAGG